UACGUAGGUGGCAAGCGUUGUCCGGAAUUACUGGGUGUAAAGGGCGUGUAGGCGGGAUCUAAAGUCAGAUGUGAAAUACCGGGGCUCAACUCCGGGGCUGCAUUUGAAACUUGGAUUCUUGAGUGCAGGAGAGGUAAGUGGAAUUCCUAGUGUAGCGGUGAAAUGCGUAGAUAUUAGGAGGAACACCAGUGGCGAAGGCGGCUUACUGGACUGUAACUGACGCUGAGGCGCGAAAGCGUGGGGAGCAAACAGG
rnacentral:rRNA from 1 species